CGGAGGGUCCCAGCCACAGACCCGUUUGCCUCAGGGAGCCGAGCUCGUCUGGAUCCACCAUGGCCUGGGCCCCCCUGCUCCUCACCCUGCUCACCUACUGCUCGGGUUCUCUGGCCCAGUACGUGCUGACUCAGCCGCCCUCAGUGUCUGUGUCUCCAGGGCAAAACGCUCAACUCACCUGCUCAGGGAACAACCUUGGUAGCAAGUAUGUGCAGUGGUACCAACAGAAACCUGGCAGUGCCCCUCUACUCGUGAUAUAUGAUAAUAGCAACAGACCUUCUGGAAUCCCUAACCGAUUCUCUGGUGCCAAGUCCGGGAACACGGCCACGUUAACCAUCACUGGGGUGCAGGCGCAGGACGACGCUGAUUAUUACUGUCAGGUGUGGGACAGUGACAGUAGCUCUCACACAGUGACACAGCCUGAUGGGGAAGUGAGACACAAACUGCCUGUUGACAUGGUGGGGGUCAGUUAUUCUUUCUUCUGUGACUGCGUGUGGGGCUGGUGUCACAGUCCUUAG